rnacentral:rRNA from 1 species
GAUGAACGCUGGCGGCGUGCUUAACACAUGCAAGUCGGGCGAAGCGCUUAUGAAAGAUUCUUCGGAUGAUUUCAUUUGUGACUGAGCGGCGGACGGGUGAGUAACGCGUGGGUAACCUGCCUCAUACAGGGGGAUAACAGUUGGAAACGACUGCUAAUACCGCAUAAGCGCACAGUACCGCAUGGUACCGUGUGAAAAACUCCGGUGGUAUGAGAUGGACCCGCGUCUGAUUAGCUAGUUGGUGGGGUAACGGCCUACCAAGGCGACGAUCAGUAGCCGACCUGAGAGGGUGACCGGCCACAUUGGGACUGAGACACGGCCCAAACUCCUACGGGAGGCAGCAGUGGGGAAUAUUGCACAAUGGGGGAAACCCUGAUGCAGCAACGCCGCGUGAGUGAAGAAGUAUUUCGGUAUGUAAAGCUCUAUCAGCAGGGAAGAAAAUGACGGUACCUGACUAAGAAGCCCCG